GCGCGGCCCUGCGCACCGCGCUGGCCACGCCCCCGGCCCGCCAGGCCACGCCCCCGCACGGCGGUACCGGAGGUGGUACCGGAGAUGGUGCUGCGGGUGAUACCGGUGAUGGUAACACAGGCGGUACCGGAGGUGGUACCGGAGAUGGUGCUGCGGGUGGUACCGGUGAUGGUAACACAGGUGGUACCGGAGAUGGUGCUGAGGGUGGUACCGGUGAUGGUAACACAGGUGGUACCGGAGGUGGUACCGGAGAUGGUGCUGAGGGUGGUACCGGUGAUGGUAACACAGGUGGUACCGGAGGUGGUACCGGAGGUGGUGCUGC